CAAUAUACAUAACCUUAACAUUUGUACCCCCAUACUAUGCUGGAAAAAGUAAAUAAAAUAAAAUAAAAAGCAACCUGUGGAGGAGUUGAGUUCUAAAGGCUAGAAGGAGAAAACCUGCUGAUAAAAGGCAAGGAGAUAGAUGAAAGUGAGCACCCAAGGAGAAUGAAAAGGAUAGAAUAAAUUGCUAAUUUGUCC